rnacentral:rRNA from 1 species
CCAAUAGCGUAUAUUAAAGUUGUUGCAGUUAAAAAGCUCGUAGUUGAAUUUCGGGACUAGUACGCUGGUCGUGCCUUCGGUAUGCACUGGUGUUACUGGUUCCUACCUUCUGACGAACCGUCAUGUCAUUAAUUUGGUGUGGCGGGAAAUCAGGACUGUUACUUUGAAAAAAUUAGAGUGUUUAAAGCAGGCUCGCGCUUGAAGACAUUAGUAUGGAAUAAUGAAAUAGGACGUUUGAUCCUAUUUUGUUGGUUUCUAGGAUUGACGUAAUGAUUAAUAUGGUUAGUUGGGGGCAUUAGUAUUCAAUUGUCAGAGGUGAAAUUCUUGGAUUUAUUUAAGACUAACUACUGCGAAAGCAUUUGCCAAGGAUGUUUUCAUUAAUCAAGAACGAAAGUUAGGGGAUCGAAGACGAUCAGAUACCGUCGUAGUCUUAACCAUAAACUAUGCCGACUAGGGAUCGGAUGAUGUUAUUUUUAAUGACUCAUUCGGCGCCUUACG